GGGCCCGCACAAGCGGUGGAGCAUGUGGUUUAAUUCGAUGAUACGCGAGGAACCUUACCAGGGCUUAAAUGUAGUCUGACAGGGGUGGAAACACCCCCUCCUUCGGGCAGAUUACAAGGUGCUGCAUGGUUGUCGUCAGCUCGUGCCGUGAGGUGUCAGGUUAAGUCCUAUAACGAGCGCAACCCCUGCCGUUAGUUGCCAGCAUGUAAUGAUGGGAACUCUAACGGGACUGCCGGUGCAAACCGCGAGGAAGGUGGGGAUGACGUCAAAUCAUCACGGCCCUUACGUCCUGGGCUACACACGUGCUACAAUGGCCGGUACAGAGGGCAGCCACACCGCAAGGUGGAGCGAAUCCUUAAAACCGGUCUCAGUUCGGAUUGGAGUCUGCAACUCGACUCCAUGAAGCUGGAGUUGCUAGUAAUCCCGGAU
rnacentral:rRNA from 1 species